AGGUUACCAUCUGGUGUCAUUUCCUUACUCCAAGACAACUUUGCUCCCACCUGACUCUUUUGUACGGUUAUUGUCUAGUAUAUAAUAUUUCUAUAGUUACAGACUUAAAAUAUAGAAAAAAUUUAUUUUUAAACCAAUUAAGAGAAAAGAGAAGAACUAUGCAUUUAUACUAUUAUUUAUGGUUAGAUAAUUAUCUUUACUGGUGAUUUUUUAAAGUGUGGAUUUAAAUUACUCUCUAGAGUCACUUGCUUUCAGCCUGAAGGACUUUGUUUAGAAUUUAUAAUAUUUCUUGUAAAAUGGUUCUACUAGCAACAAAUUCUCUCAACUUAAAAAAAAAUUUUUAAUCUGGGAAUGUCUUCAUAUCCCCUUCAUUUUUGAAAUAUACUUUUGCUGAUUAUAAGAUUCUAAGUUGACCAGUUCUUUCUUUCAGCAUUUUGUCAUCCUACUGUUUUCUGAAGUCUACUGUUUUUGAAGAGAAAUCUAUCUAUUAUUCUAAUUGGGGUUCCUUUUAUGUGAUGAGUCAUUUUUCUCUUGCUCCUUUCCAGAUUUUCUCUUGCAUUUUAAGAUUUUUUACAAUUAUCUAUCCAGAGUGUUAUCUUUUUACAUUUAUUCUACUCAGAAUUUGUUGAGCUUCUUGAGUGUAGAUCCAUGUUUUUCAUCAGAUUGAGAAUUUUCAGCCAUUAUUUCUUUGAGAAAAUUUUCUGCUUCUUUCUCUUUUUCCUUGCCUUCUAGUACUUACAUCACACAUAUGUUGGUGCACCUAAUGGUGUCCCAGGUUUCUUGUGUUUCUGUCAAUUUUUCUUCAUUCUCUUUCUCUUAGUUUUUAAGACUUUCUAUUAUUCAAAUUUACCAGUUCUUUAUUUUGCGUGCUCAGAUCUACCGUUAAACUUCUCUAGUAAAUUGUUCAUGUUGCUUAAUGUACUUUUUACCUCCAGAAUUUCCAUUUGGUUCUUUUAUAUAAUUUUAUGUUUUUAUCAAUAUUCUCUAUUCAAUAAGAUAUUCUCAUUGUACGUUUUUCUACUUCUUAACCAUAGUUUUCUUUAAUUCUUUGAACAUAUUUAUGACAGCUGUUUUAAAGUCUUUGUCUGCUAAAUCUGAUAGCUGGACCAUCUGAACAGCAGUCAUUCUCGUCUGCUUCCUUUUUAAAUUUUUUUUCUAUGUAUGGGUCACACUCUCCCACUUCUUUGUCUUAUUAUUUUUGGUUGAGAAUCAGAAAUUUUAGAUAUUAUAUUGUAUCAACUCUGGGUGCUCAACCUCUCCCCCUAGGAGCCUCUUAUUGUUUGCUUGCUGUUUGUUUAGAGAUAUGGCUGGACUGUUUGAAUGAAUUCUGUGCCCCACUACUGUGAAGCCUCCAAUGUUGUCUAUGGGCAUGCAUAUAGUUUUCCUGAGAUGACAGGUGUUCUGACUGUCCCUGUCCGUGACCUGUCUGUUAAGCUGUUUGUCUCCAUUGGUAUUACACACUGUUGUUAGCCUCCACUAAUUGCCUGCUGAUUGCUCCAUUGUUUCCAACAAUGCCCUGGGGACAUAAAUUGCUCCACAGUUUGAUCCAGUUAAAAUUGUGCUCCUGUGCACAGGUAGUCUUUGAGGCUCAUUUCUAUUUCAGGAGGGCUCUUCUUAGCUAUCUCUGUCCCUGGUUCUCCCUGAUAAUUUUCUAGACCACCAAUGGUUUAGCUUGUUGCUGUCAUGGAGCUAAAUACCUCAUCUUACCUGUUUAUCACCAAAAGCAUCAUUUUUGACAGCACCUUUGAACUUCCCCACCCUGUGUUCCAAAAGCUUUCACUUCCCUUGGGGAGAGCUUUGGAGCUCUCUGCUCUUGCAGCCUGUCUCUCUGUCUGCCCAAGAUCUCUGUGCCGUUGCUCCAGAGCUGGAGGCUGGGGCAGUGGCUCCCUUCUCUUGGAGUGACAUCCCUGCAGCCUUGGGUGGUGUAGUAGCUUGGCUUGCCUCUGUCAGGGUGGAGCUUUUGCCCCACAGGUGAACUGGGGCAAGAGUGAGUGGGGUCCUGGUGCUCCUGGACUGUUGUGCUAGGCUGGAGCCUUCACUUACACAUGGGUUCUGGGUGGAGGAAGGAAGCUCCAGACCUCUCAGCUGCUCUUGCCUGGAAUGGAGCUUCUGUACAAGGAGCUGUGGGAAGAGAAAUGCUGGCAGAAGCCUCUCCUGUGGAUAUACUGCAGCCCUGACCAGGGGCUGGGGGAAGGAAGUCUGUGUUCUUGCAAACCCCCUUCCCCAAGAGGAGCUUCCAUCAGGCUGACCUGCAGCGGGGCACAGGUUAUAGCUCAAAUGUCACCAACUCUCUCUUCCUUACCAAUAUUUAAUAGUGUUCAUUGAAUCAAUGUGUCUUCAUUUUCUUCACUUGCCAUAUGCCCUUAGGACAAUUUCCAGAAGUGUUAAUUUUUAAAAUAAUUUUUACCAGUUACGGUUAUUUUGCUGUGGAGAGGGUCUGUGGCCUCUUUAUGCCACCACUGCAGUGUCAUUCUGAUUUGUAGAUACAUUCUACAGUGGGAUGGAGAUUCAACUGUAAUUGUUAAGUUUUAGCUCUUCUUUUGUUAGUUAUAGAACAGUGAACAAAGUACUUAAUCUUCCUGAAUCAAAUCUGUAAAAUAAAAAAUUUUUAAGUUG
rnacentral:lncRNA from 1 species